rnacentral:rRNA from 1 species
UACGUAGGGGGCAAGCGUUGUCCGGAAUUAUUGGGCGUAAAGAGCUCGUAGGCGGUCUGUCGCGUCGGCUGUGAAAUCCCGGAGCUCAACUCCGGGCCUGCAGUCGAUACGGGCAGACUGGAGUUCGGUAGGGGAGACUGGAAUUCCUGGUGUAGCGGUGAAAUGCGCAGAUAUCAGGAGGAACACCGGUGGCGAAGGCGGGUCUCUGGGCCGAUACUGACGCUGAGGAGCGAAAGCGUGGGGAGCGAACAGG